GGCCCCUUGGUCAAGUGGUUAAGACACCGCCCUUUCACGGCGGUAACACGGGUUCGAAUCCCGUAUGGGUCACCA
rnacentral:tRNA from 1 species